CCUACGGGGGGCAGCAGUGAGGAAUAUUGGUCAAUGGACGGAAGUCUGAACCAGCCAUGCCGCGUGCAGGAAGACGGCUCUAUGAGUUGUAAACUGCGUUUGUACAAGGGAAAACCGGAAUACGUGUAUGCAGCUGAAAGGACGGUACGAAUAAGGAUAGGCUAACUCCGUGCCAGCAGCCGCGGUAAUACGGAGGAUCCAAGCGUUAUCCGGAUUUAUUGGGUCUAACGGGUGCGUAGGCGGAUUGAUAAGUUAGUGGUGAAAUGUCCGCGCUUACCUCGGGAACUGCCUCUAAUACUGUUGAUCUAGAGCGUAGGUGCGGUCGGCGGAAUGUCUUGUGUAGCGGU
rnacentral:rRNA from 1 species